rnacentral:tRNA from 1 species
GGGGGGCUGGCGCAACGGUAGCGCGGUAAGUCAUUACAACAUGAUCAAUUUUAAAUUCAAAAUUCUAAUUCCCUCACUAGUCAGAUUCCAGUACACCGGAAUCUCCUGAAGGUUAAGGGUUCAAAUCCCUUGUCCCUCA